rnacentral:rRNA from 1 species
UGCCAAGCAGCCGCGGUAAUUCCAGCUCCAAUAGCGUAUAUUAAAGUUGUUGCGGUAAAAAAGCUCGUAGUUGGAUUUCUGCUGGGGAUGAGCGGUCCACACCAUGUGUGCGCAUCUGUUUCAGCCUCGGCAUCCUCUCGAAAGACGUUUCUGCGCUUGAUUGCGUGGAGCGGAUCUCGGGACUUUUACUUUGAGGAAAUUGGAGUGUUCACGGCAGGCUAUCGCCAGAACAUAUUAGCAUGGAAUAAUACUAUAGGAUCUUGACCCUAUUUUGUUGGUUUCUAGGAUUGAGAUAAUGACUAAUAGGAACAAUUGGGGGCACUCGUAUCAACAUGUCAGAGGUGGAAUUCUUGGAUUAUGUUGCGACGAACUACUGCGAAAGCAUUUGCCAAGGAUGUUUUCAUUGAUCAAGAACGAAAGUAAGGGGAUCGAAGACGAUUAGAUACCGUCGUAGUCUUUACCAUAAACUAUGCCAACUAGAGAUGGGACAUCGUUCACUUACGACUUGUUCCGCACCUUAUGAGAUAUCAAAGUUUUUGGGUUCCGGGGGGAGUAUGCUCGCAAGUGUGAAACUUAAAGGAAUUGACGGAAGGGCACCACCAGGAGUGGAGCCUGCGGCUUAAUUUGACUCAACACGGGGAAACUCACCAGGUCCAGACAUAAUAAGGAUUGACAGAUUGAUAGCUCUUUCUUGAUUUUAUGGGUGGUGGUGCAUGGGCCGUUCUUAGUUCGUGGAGUGAUUUGUCUGCUUAAUUGCGUUAACGAACGAGACCUUAACCUGCUAAAUAGAAGCGCAUAUCUUCGGAUAAGCGCCUUUCUUCUUAGAGGGACUGUUUGCGUUUCAGCAAGCGGAAGUUUGAGGCUAAAACAGGUCUGUGAUGC